CUCACUUGCUCUCUCUCUCUCUCUCUCUCUCUCUCUCUCUCUCCCCCCACGGCGGGAGGAGAAAUCUUGGGGUUUUCAGGAACCAUAGGGUUAGGGUUUCGAGAAAUGGAGAAUCUUGCCUCAGUCUCAUCCAAAUUCCCCGUUCUCGUGGGCGCUCCCAAUCCUCCGGGAUCCCUAACAGGCCCUAUCCGUCUCUUCCCCUCCCCGCUGCCAGGGGAAGAGGAGGAACAGGCGGCGCGAGGAGACCCAGAUUCGUCGCCUCCGCUCAUCGGCGUGGGGGCGAUGGAGCAUCCGAGAGGAUUCUCGAAGCUGGUUAUGAAUGUAUUCACAAAGAUAUUGGAAUUCUUCCCUGGGGUGACAAGUUACCCCUGACUGACUUCACAUGAUCAAAUUCGCAAUUUUGUUGGUUCCGUCCACUAUUUAGCUGCCACUGAAUGAUGAAUUCUGGUUUGACUUUGCAUCACCGUUUUAAGAUCCUGAGAUGCAGUGCCUGGAUGUCUAAUAUUACUGCAGCACUACCCUUCCCUGUUAUAUAGAUGAUGGAUCCCCCAAAAGUUUUUUCAGUGUUGGAUGUUUACAUCUUGAGAAAAAGGUCCUGUACCUGUUAGGUGUGUUGGGUAUGUAAUUUUCACUUCUUUCCUUCUCCCUUGAAUCAAAGGAAUAUGAGAUGGCUGAGGCACUCAGAACCAUUUCUUGCCCUUUCUAAUCUUUUCGAACAAGUAGUUAACUUUCUUCAGUAAGAUGGGUAUGUACUAUUUUCCCAGCCAAGCCUUCUUGCAAGAGCUGCAUAAAUAUGCAGAACCACCUUGGAGAUUUUGCUACGCCUUAGUUGGAGACUGUUUAUGUUCGUCAGCUGCUACUAAUGCUUAAAGGAACGUAAACAUGGUUGCCAACAUGCUUUCUAUAUGGUGUAAAGCAUAACAGGGUGCAAUCUGGAGGUGCAUGCGACUAGUGGCAGUUGAGACCAGUCAAAUUCUUUGUAAAAGAGACCCUUUAAAUAAUUAACUCUGGUGUUCAUUAUAGUUCUGGAUUGCUAAAAGUUGUCAAUACUAUAUUGGAGUCAUCCGUUCAGAAUUUUGUGAUGGUUGCGCAUCAAGUUUUUGAACUAAAAGUGAUGUGGUGUGAUGCGGUAAGAAUUUGGUGUUCCCCACCUGGAAAGUCCUAGAAAUGGUCUGUGCUUGUAAUCUUGUUUAGACAGGUUAAAUUGCAGGGUUUGAGUAGUGCAAGAAAUCCUUGACCAGUUUUCUUUAGA